GAUGAACGCUGGCGGCGUGCCUAAUACAUGCAAGUCGAGCGAACAGACGAGGAGUUUGCUCCUCUGACGUUAGCGGCGGACGGGUGAGUAACACGUGGAUAACCUACCUAUAAGACUGGGAUAACUUCGGGAAACCGGAGCUAAUACCGGAUAAUAUAUUGAACCGCAUGGUUCAAUAGUGAAUGACGGUUUUGCUGUAACUUAUAGAUGGAUCCGCGCCGCAUCGGCUAGUUGGUAAGGUAACGGCUUACCAAGGCAACGAUUCGUAGCCGAACUGAGAGGGUGAUGGACCACAUUGGAACAUGCACCAGGUCCAUACCCCUACGUGAGGCAGCAGAAGCGAAUGUUCCGCAAUGGGCGGGAGCCUGACGAAGGAACGCCGAGUGAGAGAUGACGGUUUCGCGGUCGUGAAGCUCUGUUACUAGGGAAGAACAACUUUGUAAUUAUCGCUACGCGUAUUGACGGUACCUAAACAGAAAGCCACGGCUAACUACGUG
rnacentral:rRNA from 1 species